GGAUUGUGGCUCAAUGGUAGAGCUCUGGCCUUGCACAUGUGAGGCACUGAGUUCAAUUCUCAGCACCA
rnacentral:tRNA from 1 species